rnacentral:lncRNA from 1 species
UAAAUGUAUUCCCUUGCCAAAACCCUGACUACAACAAAUAAUGUCUGUAAAGACCCUUAAAUGCAAAGUUCACAUUUUCCCCUUCUCACAAUCUAUUCUUUUUUUUUUUUGGUACCAGGGAUUGAACUUGGGACCUUGCACUGGUGAGGCAGGUGGCAGAACCACUGAGCUAAAUCCCCAGCCCUCUCACACUCUAUUCUGUGGAAGCAAGUCCCUCAAAGUUAGGGGAACUGACUUCACUUCCUGCCUCCCAAGCGCUGGACUACCAGCAUGCACCUCCACACCGGGCUGCGGUGGCUUUAUAAGAGGGAAAAGGACUGGAGCUCACAUACUUGCUCUGUCCCACCAUGUGAUGCGUUCCUCCAUGUUAGGAUGCUGGCACCUGCUGUUGGACUUCCCGGCCUCCAGAACUGACAAGAAGAUACUUCCAUCCAGUAUUGGGGAUUGA